rnacentral:tRNA from 1 species
GGGAUUGUGGUUCAGUGGUAGAGCACUUACCUGACAUGUGUGAGGCACUGGGUUCAAUUCUCAGCACUA